CUUCAAUACUUCAUUGUUCCAACCUUACAAGAGAAUCAUUCCCACCUUGUUAUCAAUUGCUUGCUUAUAAAAUCCUAAACCGUGUUAACCAACUUAACCCUAAAUACCAUUAAAAUCAAAUCAAAUAUGAACGAAUCUUUCGACUUUCCUCCUUUCUUUCCUCUUCUUCAACGACAACUUGGAUAAUGAGAAUAUCGUGUUACAAACCCUAGGAAGCAGAGAAGGAAAAGGAAAAGGAAAAUAAAAUAAGAGAGAAUAAGGUCAGUGAAAGUGGUGGUGGUGGUUAUUCUUCACUUCAUCAGAAAAAGAUGAAUAUUCUAAAAAUUGUAGAAAUGCUCUUCUCUGCUUUCCGAGGAAACGACUGAUGAUCCAAAAUUCGUUUUGAUAUGUGAAAUAUGGUCCAGACAAGUACCUUGAUGCUCCAAUCGCAGAGGUUUUUUUUGAUGUUUAUCACCACAAAAGCUCUUGUGGGUAACCACUCCAGCUAGUCAUUUAUCAGCUUGUUGAAUUUAUACAGAUUAUAUACUUGAGCUUAAACUAAGGAGUUGCUUACACAUUCAAGUACAGAUUCCAAUCUCUUAAUUUUUUAGGGUAUUUUUUGCUGGCUCAAUCUGCUGGGGUUGGAGUCAGCAGACGUUUUUUCGGCAAGCAACUAUUGUCUAAAACCUGUUGUAGAUUUUAUGACAUUUAACUUCUCAAUGUAGGUCAAUAUAAUUAUUGACAUGAUAUUUUGGAAGUUGAUCACAUCAUCAAUUCUGCUGCAAAAUCAAACCACAUGUUUGUUGGUCAGAUAAGUGUGCCAAUUGCUCUCAGAGGACUGAAAGGUGUUGUUGCUGGAGUUGGCGCCCAUCACUCACAGGUUUUGGUCGAAUCAGUGACACAGUGAGUGAGUUUGAAAAAUUGGUGGAUGAGAGACUAUAUUUCUGUGAACACAUCAAAACACCUGAGUAGACCAAUAUGCAAGUACACGAAUGUUACGUCAUCCAUCUGUUUUAC